UACGAAGGGGGCUAGCGUUGCUCGGAAUUACUGGGUGUAAAGGGCGCGUAGGCGGACAGUUUAGUCAGAGGUGAAAGCCCCAGGGCUCAACCUUGGAAUUGCCUUUGAUACUGGCUGUCUUGAGUUCGGGAGAGGUGAGUGGAAUGCCGAGUGUAGAGGUGAAAAUUCGUAGAUAUUCGGCGGAACACCAGUGGCGAAGGCGACUCACUGGCCCGAUACUGACGCUGAGGUGCGAAAGCGUGGGGAGCAAACAGGG
rnacentral:rRNA from 1 species